rnacentral:tRNA from 1 species
GGCUCAGUAGUCCAAUGGUAAAGCGCUCGUUGCGGAGCCAGAGGGUCCUGGAUUCGAUUCCAAACAGAGUCG